GAUGAACGCUGGCGGCGUGCCUAAUACAUGCAAGUCGAGCGAACAGACGAGGAGCUUGCUCCUUUGACGUUAGCGGCGGACGGGUGAGUAACACGUGGGUAACCUACCUAUAAGACUGGGAUAACUUCGGGAAACCGGAGCUAAUACCGGAUAAUAUUUCGAACCGCAUGGUUCGAUAGUGAAAGAUGGCUUUGCUAUCACUUAUAGAUGGACCUGCGCCGUAUUAGCUAGUUGGUAAGGUAACGGCUUACCAAGGCAACGAUACGUAGCCGACCUGAGAGGGUGAUCGGCCACACUGGAACUGAGACACGGUCCAGACUCCUACGGGAGGCAGCAGUAGGGAAUCUUCCGCAAUGGGCGAAAGCCUGACGGAGCAACGCCGCGUGAGUGAUGAAGGUCUUCGGAUCGUAAAACUCUGUUAUUAGGGAAGAACAAACGUGUAAGUAACUGUGCACGUCUUGACGGUACCUAAUCAGAAAGCCACGGCUAACUACG
rnacentral:rRNA from 1 species